UGUAUCUGUGUUUGUAUGUGCCAGUGUGUGUAUCUGUGUGUCAGUGUGUAUGAACCUGACACACAGAUACACACACUGGCACAUACAAACACAGAUACACA